UGGGCCCGAGUGUCUGUGGCGCGUCUUGUUGUUUGCCUUCCGCUUUUUCGUCAAUUUUGGACCUUUUUCCUGGAUUAUUGUGGUUUUAAUUGUGUCUCCUUGUAAAUGGUGGAAUGAAAAUGUGUUGCCUAUGGCCAAUACCCCCCUAACACCCGUGAAACCAGCCUUUUGAGGUGUAGUGAUGGGGCACGAUGAAUGGGGAGCCGAACACCAACCCGCAAGUGCCCGUCACGACCCUAGCGGGCAUCGCCAGCCUCACCGAGUAUUCCUUUUCCUGAUGGCUGACCAUAUGUGUUCCUAUAUGCAGUUAGCGUGAAACUGUGUAUCCACACUUAAUGGUAAUAGUAUCUUGGUUGAAAAUAUUUUCGUCUUUCCAUUAGUUUUAAAGAUACAUAUAUUUAAUUUAAGGAUUUUAAUUUUUAUUCGAAUUCAGUUCCUGUAGAGUUCAUAUUCUUAAUUGUAGUUCAUUGUAAUGUUUGCAUAGAUUUGCAUAUUCAGGAAAUUUGCUCUAAAAUAAUUAGUAAUCCAGUUAUAAGCAGCAGGAUGCAUUGCGUCAUAGCGUCCGGUACCAGGUACUGCCAGAUAGUGCAGUGUCCCUUGACACCAUUUCAUUUCUUGUUUCCCACGGCUUCGAUGUGCAUAUAGAUAAUCAGUCAAUAAACUCCAUAUAUGUAAGGUACGCAGGAAUUACCAUACCGGAUGCUAGCGUAUGCAUUAUGGCAGGACUAUAAGUACGGGAGACUGUGAGUGUGUACGUUUAUAUGACCGUGAAUGUGAUUGUGAAUGUAAAUGUAAAUAUAAAUGUCACUCUAUCUCCCUUCGCCCUUCGUCUACUUUCUCAACUUUUCUUUCUCUGUCCUC